UAUUAACAACCAUAAAAGAAGAAAACGAGGAAGCGUAGUUCUUCUUACUGGACGACGCGAUCUUGCUCCUCCACGUUGAAUUAAGUGGCUAGCAGCAUGGAGACCCUCGUACAUAUAGCAUGUUGCUCUCUAUCGGCCACGUUUGCUGUAAAACGGAACCAGGUUUUAAAUGGAACAACACAAAGUUGAGCCUGCAACUCUGUAACGCUGCGGGUAAUACAGGCUGGCUAGAUGUAGGCUCAAUGCAUUUGGUUAACGUUAGUUAACCAAGUUAGUUAAAGGUGUGGUAUGUGGACGUGGGAAGCACGUGGCGGCUAGCUAGAAGUAACGCUAACUUACAUUGCACUGGAAAGCAGUUGUUUAGUCACAGUCAUUACAUUUGUUGCUUUAACACCACGAGACAAAUGCAGGUAUUCGCAUAGAUUAUGAUUGUUUUCGUUGUGUAACUACUUUUUAAUCUGAGUAGGACAUUACGAGAACGUCAUUUAGUGUUUAUGACAAAUAUUAUUUAUGCUCAGGGGGAUGUUAUGUUAACCUUUUUGUGCUUUGUGAUAACAGGGUACAUUGGAGGAGAUGGCCUGACCUGACUCAUCACGGAGGAGCUCCCAGCUUGAAACACGCCAUGUGGCAGAGAUGCCUUGUCUGAAGAUAUGGGAUUAUUGAUCCUGAUGUGGCCAAGAGUACGAACACAGAGCAUUCGUCAGAAUAUGUUUUUAUGGAGAAGUGCUGUAAUGCCCACUCGGUCACAUUGCUGAUCACCGAAGAAACAUGGUUGCUUCAACAGAGAGGCUAGAAGAUGUGGCUACUUUUGAAGAGGACCAUGAGAAAAAAAGACAACUCCUUUUGUUCACGCUCCACCAGGGAAAGCAAUAUCGCCUGCCUUUGGGUGGCUGUACCUCACUCUUCUUUUGUAAUAAACUUGUAACUGUUCAAAAUGGGUCUUGUGGAUUAUUGUUCUACAUUAGGUUUAACAUUGUUGGACAAAAUGGGUAAAGAAAAUACAAUCCUGAUAUCUAAAAUUUCAAAAGCACCACAACAAGUUUGAACCUUUACAUUACCAAGACAUUUUAAUAAAUAAACCCAUAGCAUUCUUUUCAAAGCUGUAAGAAAGAAAAUGUCCCUCAAAGCUGUUAAAGUAAAUUGAGUACAGUUCAUCCUGCAUAAUAAUCAAAAAGGUAUACAGUACGUCAUUUCAAGUAUGCAGGUUAACUGCUUCAUUAUCAAAUCUAAAUUGUCUGUUAUUGCCCCAUGUUUUGCUUUGGCUGUCAAAGUUCUGACACAUGGCCAUUUGAAGAGUUAACAUGUCAUUCAACCAGGUGACUGAAUGAUCAUUUAAAAAUCAAAUCCAUAUUGUAACCUUAAACAAAACAAUACUUGCUUAGAUUUCAUACAGUAAAAGAUAAGGUGUAGAAAUGUAUGCAUAGUGUUCAAAGAGUCCGUUUUCAGUCAAAACAGUUGAAUAAAACAUACAAUAUUUCCUCUA
rnacentral:lncRNA from 1 species